rnacentral:misc_RNA from 1 species
UCUCCGUUGGUGAACCAGCGGAGGGAUCAUUACCGAGUUUACAACUCCCAAACCCCUGUGAACAUACCUAUCGUUGCCUCGGCGGUGCCCGCUCCGGCGGCCCGCCAGAGGACCCCCAAACUCUUGUUUUAUACAGUAUCUUCUGAGUAACACGAUUAGAUAAAUCAAAACUUUCAACAACGGAUCUCUUGGUUCUG